rnacentral:snoRNA from 1 species
UGUUCAGUGAUGGAACUUAAUGCCUUCUGUAACUCUGUGAUGAUAAAAGAGGCUGUUUCUGAGAAC